rnacentral:rRNA from 1 species
AUUGAACGCUGGCGGCAGGCUUAACACAUGCAAGUCGAGCGGAGAUGAGGUGCCUGCACCUUAUCUUAGCGGCGGACGGGUGAGUAAUGCUUAGGAAUCUGCCUAUUAGUGGGGGACAACAUUCCGAAAGGAAUGCUAAUACCGCAUACGUCCUACGGGAGAAAGCAGGGGAUCUUCGGACAUUGCGCUAAUAGAUGAGCCUAAGUCGGAUUAGUUAGUUGGUGGGGUAAAGGCCUACCAAGGCGACGAUCUGUAGCGGGUCUGAGAGGAUGAGCCGCCGACCGGGGAGUGAGACACGGCCCAGACUCCUACGGGAGGCAGCAGUGGGGAAUAUUGGAAAAUGGGGGGAACCCUGAUCCAGCCAUGCCGCGUGUGUGAAGAAGGCCUUAUGGUUGUAAAGCACUUUAAGCGAGGAGGAGGCUACUGAGACUAAUACUCUUGGAUAGUGGACGUUACUCGCAGAAUAAGCACCGGCUAACUCUGUGCCAGCCGCCGCUGUAAUAC